rnacentral:ncRNA from 1 species
AGGAGCCGUGCGAGAUGAAAGUCUCAUGCACGGUUUUGCAUGAGAGAAAGAAGCGAGGAAUCCUCUUCUCGACUCUAAC